AGAAUGUGACAUUUUUUUUUAAAAUUUUUUAUCGCCAUCAAGAAAACUCAUCGUGGAUGUGUCGAGGGUUUCUCCAGAGAGGGAGAGAGGAGAGGAGAGAGAGAGAGAGAAGCAUCACCAAUUCUAUAAUCAAUCAACAGAAACCAAACUUCUUCCCCCAGAAACGUCAUUUUCAUCGACAUCAAACCUAACCCAAUAUAUAUUAUACAUCGACCCGUCAAUUCUCUCUCUUUCUUGUAUAUAUAUAUUACUCAUCGACUCAUCAAUUCUCUCUCUUUUUUGGUUCAUUGACUCGUCGAUCGGUCGAUUGUUCGAUCAAUUGAUCUAAUUUAACGGCCAUGGAAGUCCGUCACACUCUAACCCCGUCGACACUUCUUCCGUCUCUCAAAGGCUUCAGAAGGAGUUGAUGUCUUUAAUGGUAAGCCAUCUAUUCUCUGUUCUAUUUUUGAAUUUACAGCAAUUAUGACUGUAUGUGUGUACAUGUGGAUGGAUAGAAUUAGAAGUAAAGUCAGUUUUGCUUGUUUCAUGUUUAUAAUGGUUACUUGUAAUGCUCGACUCAGGUUUUGGUUUCCUAUUGUGAUAGUCUACAAUUGACAAUAGCAA